rnacentral:sRNA from 1 species
UGGGGUGGGUCUUUCAAGCUCAUUCUCUUCAGGGAUCUUCAGCACACCAAUUCUGUAGUCACAAUCAACUACAAUCGUGAGUAGGCUGACUUGAGAUGGCCACAUCUUCAAGAGUGAUGUUGUUGGUCCUGAAGAAGAGUCCGGUACUCUGAUGCCUCUGGGGCUGAGAGCUCAGGGUGUGGGCACUACCGAGUUCCUCAGCAGCAUCUGCUGUCUCUUCUGCUCAUGGAACAGCUAUUUUCUUACUUUGACUGUGUGAUUGCAUGAGGCAAGCUGCUCCACGGAACCACCCAGAAGACAUGCUCUGGAAUCAGGUUGACGAUCUCCAAAUGUUAGUUUACAUUCUCAGGUUCAUCCAAACGUUAUCUACCCAAGGGGUCUUGAGAAGAACGAGGAGACAGUGGACAGAGCCUUCUUAUACUCUGACCUGGCCAAGAGAGAGGAUCCUGGUGGGCAGAUUUCUCAUCUAUGAGGCCAAUCUGAUCGUCAAACUGAUAUCACGGAUGACACUGCCCAUGCUCAGGGUAGACCUUAUCCUUGUCUCAGUCACCUCUGCUCAGGAGUGCCCCCACAGGCGUGCUCAGAGCUUGGCUCCUAGGGGUUUCUAAAUACCUGUAAGUUGACAGUUGGAAUUCAUCAAUGCAACUUUACUUCUUGUCAUUUCGAUACCCAAAUGCCGUACCUUUAAAUCAUAUUUUUUUAUCCCUGGUUCCUAAAGCCCAUGUUCACCUCAUAAAACAUUGUGUAUUUUGUCCAUCUCUAGAAGUCUCUAGAGACUUAAUGAUUUCAUUGCACUGUUCUAAAGUUUGAGAAAAAAAAUUCUACUGAGAUUUGGGCAACCUUUUAACUGUGAGCUC